rnacentral:tRNA from 1 species
CGCCCCGUCGGCAGGCGAGGCCGCGCCCGGUGGCGCCGGCCCGUCGGCCGACGGCGCCGCCGCAGGCUCCGUCCCCGCCGGGGCGC